ACAACUCGCUGACCAGUUCCAUGGCCUUGAUCCAGUUAAGUGCCGUGAACUGGCAUUUGAAUACGCAGAGAAAAACAAUAUCCCUGUCCCUGCCAAUUGGACAGAGAAACAAUGUGCAGGAGUCGAGUGGUUUGGCAGCUUCCAAGCACGUCGCAAUCUCUCUGUCCGAAGUCUGGAGGAAACAUCACUGGGAAGAGCGACAGCCUUCAAUACAGUGGAGGAAAAUCAGUCCCAGACUGUUCUAGCUGGUUUUGAUGAUGGUCCCAUGACUGUGGUGUAAUCUAACUGGUUAUAUCUGUCAUUUGAAUGUUAAUUAAAACAUUUCGAAUUAUA